rnacentral:misc_RNA from 1 species
UCUGCUUCCGUGCUUGCCUCCAAGU